rnacentral:ncRNA from 1 species
AUUACUCUGGAGAGUCUUUCUCUUUUCGGAUCAGGGAUCCCUCUUUCAAUGAGACCCCUUUUUAACAGGAGAAAGCGCCGAAGGUGUACGACAAAUUUUUUUGUUUAUCUCUCAGGCAAAAGGACAGAACA